AGUGAACGCUGGCGGUAGGCCUAACACAUGCAAGUCGAACGGCAGCACAGUAAGAGCUUGCUCUUACGGGUGGCGAGUGGCGGACGGGUGAGGAAUACAUCGGAAUCUACUUUUUCGUGGGGGAUAACGUAGGGAAACUUACGCUAAUACCGCAUACGACCUACGGGUGAAAGCAGGGGAUCUUCGGACCUUGCGCGAUUGAAUGAGCCGAUGUCGGAUUAGCUAGUUGGCGGGGUAAAGGCCCACCAAGGCGACGAUCCGUAGCUGGUCUGAGAGGAUGAUCAGCCACACUGGAACUGAGACACGGUCCAGACUCCUACGGGAGGCAGAAGUGGGGAAUAUUGGACAAUGGGCGCAAGCCUGAUCCAGCCAUACCGCGUGGGUGAAGAAGGCCUGCGGGUUGUAAAGCCCUUUUGUUGGGAAAGAAAAGCAGCAGGUUAAUACCCCGCUGUUCGGACGGUACCCAAAGAAUAAGCACCGGCUAACUUCGU
rnacentral:rRNA from 1 species